UCCCAGCACAAGGUCACAGACUGUUCGCACGGCCCGUCUCUCACUCUCUCCGCGCUGUCAUUGGCUAGGCAGGUUCUGGUUCACCUAAUCCCCACUGGAUCUGCUGUACCCAGAGAAUGAAAAGAGAUGGAUUAGACAACAUGAAGCAGUUCCUGGGAUGUCAUUAGAAUUCCUUCAGAGUUUCCUGUGCCGUUUGCUGCAUGAGUCUGACCUCAGCAAACACCAGCGUCAGGCAGCGAUCACACAGCUGUGUUUAAAGUUCAUUUGGGGGUCCUCAGCUGACUCAGCCGUUUAACCAGCUGCUGUAUCAAACCACAUGAGUAUGAUGACGUUUGUGGUUGACAGAGCAUGUGAAGGCAGGGUCAGUUCCUAAGAACAUUACUCAUUUCUGUUCCCUGGGAAUGUCAUGACAGGAAAGCAAUCGAGAGGAUGGGGAAGAAAAGCAUCGCAGCUCUUUCUCAGGUCUGGCUUUGAAUACAUCAGUGCAAUGAGAAGUGAUGAAUUCAUGCAUUAGUCAGAAAAGUGUCCGUGUUGUCCUCGGCCGAGUUCUCAUCUCUAAUGGCUUAUCUGACCAGGCAGCUGCCUGCUCACAACUAUUUGAACAAUGAACCUCCUGCAAGGGCUGCAUAAAUCAGUGCAGCCUCACAUGAAUACAUGCAUGCGAACGAACCUGUGAGCACCUGCAGGUUUACAGUGGAGUGCUGAGCCUGGACUUGAUCAGAGGGGUUUUGAACGUGCUUGGACUGGAAAUGAAUGCUCCGGGCUUUGCUGACCAGCGCAGGACGCUUUUCCACGCUCUGUUAGCAUGCAUGCUUCUAUCAGAUUUAUAAAAGCUUUCUCCAUAAACAGAGCUCAUUGUGGUAAUUUCUUUCACAUUUCAAUCCUAUCAAAACCAUGUUUGCCGGGCUUUCAUAAACUAUUAUGGAUCACUAGAAGGUGCCAUUAUAUUGAACCCAAAACGAUUGACCCGGAUUGGCUCUAUUGAAGCGCACAGGUUCACACAGACCAUUUGAAGACAAAUGAAAGGCAAUUGCAAUGGAAUCUAGAUACAAUUUUGUGGAAAAUGGGAGAAGAUACAAUUUUUCUGAUACUUUCCUGUUUCGCAAAUUAUUAAAAACGCAUGGGUAAAACUUUAUUUCACUGAUCCACUUUAGACAUUCUACUAACUAUAAGUAACUGUGCAGCUACAUUUCAAUUACC